UAGAGUGGCGUUUUGGUUGAGGUUUGUUUAUGGCUGCUCAGACCGCUCUGUAUUGCUAUUCUGUGGUCGUCACUAAAGUUGGUAUAACUAGAGAAGCAAGCGGUCAGCAACAUUCAUCUCUGGAGGGGGUGUCUAACUCUGUGUUACAGUGUGUUUGACCUUAAGUUAAUUUUACGCCGGAAUAUCGCUUUAAGUUCUUUGUUAUGAAUAUUAUGACUUUAAAAAGCUGCACAACAGUAAGAAAUUUGACCUCUGAACAGACUCUUUCCUCAGAAAUUCCUCUUUUCUUUCGUUCUCUCCUUCUAGCACAACCAGUCAUUUCUUUUUACACUCACAUGUAUAAACAUGCUGUCUCUGAACACAAACACAAUACAGUGCAGCUGCAGUUCACCACACCCUGGCAAAGAGCUAUUGAAAUUAUCCUGAAGAAGAGGUGGGGAAGAGCAGCAUGCCCGGGACAAAGUAUUAUCAUAAGACCUAGCACGUCAUUGAGUUUGCCCCGGGCCGAUACCUGUCACACCUCUGAACUCCUACUGUUUAUGAGCUAAAGGUUUAUAAAAAUAAUGAAUGCCUUUCGUUUACUGUAGAGCAUUUAUAACUGACACUCAGACCAUUAAACACAUAAUGAGGAGUUUAGUGAGUUACCGUUGGGUGAAAGGUCAGGGAUAACUCUGCUUAACGGUAUCAGAAGAUGUACUGUUAUGGGAGAUUGAAAAUGAUCAAUCUUAACUUAUUGUUACUUUUAUUGGUGCCAUUAAGACAAUUUACUAACAUAUAAUUGAUUGAAUUUAAAGUGUGAUGUAAAUCUGAGAAUGGUUGAUAAGUGGUAAAUAUGACUGGCUUAAGAAAACAGCACUAGAACUGUUUAAAAAAACAUUCAAACAUAAAAUAUAGAAAAUAUCAGCUAAGAGACAUAAAUAUGUGAUUUCUGUUUUUGCAUGUUCACAUAUUUUAUUGCAUGUCUGCAGCCACUGUUGUGAUAAUAUCCCAUAAUUCCCACACUGGAAUAGGCCUUUAAGUCAAAACCCUUUUUUUCCUGAAGUCCUCCACUGUACCUCUGUUACCAUGGUUACUGUUUCUGACUCUCACUGUAUGUAGCUGUAUGGUAUGGCUGGUGGUUUAUUGAAUGUGUGCUUUGUCCUCAGAGACUGCCAAAGCUGACACAAUCAGGAAGUUCCUCACAAUUAAAAAUGUCUACCUCUGUGCUUUAAAAUGCAAAAUAGAUACGUCUUAAAAUUGCUGUAAAUGUUCAACAUUGUUCUGACUGUAAUUAAUACUUCAGUGUAAGCUUAAGCAGUACUAUAUAUUACCUGGGAUGUAGCCAAAAAAAUCUUAUGAAUAUUCAGGUAUUAAGUCCUUCAAUUUGUCUGUGCUUGAACAUGACCUUCUGACAAAGAUUUCGAGAAUAUCUGUGAUUAUUUCCUCCACAUUUAUAUUUUCAAAGAAACUCACAGGUGAUAAAAAUAGGUUUUAAAGUGUCUGAUUAUCUAAUUAGUCCUUGUGAUACAUAUCUAUCUCUCAGGUAUCAUUAUCAUGUGAUGCAAUAUGUUUUCUUGAAGAUCUAGGUGAUGAAAGGUGUGUUGUGUGGGGGUGACAUAUAAGCACAUACUUCUCAGUUUUACGUCAAACCUUAUAAAUAUAACCUGUGAGUAAUCCUGUUGGAGUGUUGAAGUCACCGUCAUCUUUUUUGUGCUUUCAUGUCUCAUUUUCAUCCCCUGUUUGUUUAUUUCUAGGCGCUGAGCAGUCUAACGUGCCAUCUGUGUUUAUUGCUGAGCUCGUGUCUCUCAACUCCAGGCCUCCCCGCCAGCAGACCUGCAUUUAGGGUCUGAAAGGUGUUCGUGAUAACCAUCAUUUUCUGCCAUUUGAUGCAUGUUAAAACAGCCCUCGUUGUUUAGACCUGUAAUAUCUUUCCCCCUUAGAUGUCACAGCGUUUUCAUUAGGCCUGGCGCUGGGCUUUGCUGGGGCUCAUUAUGGGCCUGGGUAACCCUUUAAAGACACACUGCAGUGUCUGUCCUCAGUGUUCAGGUUUACCUGAAAGGCUAAAAUCAGCAGAGAAGACUCUUUCUUCACAUACUUAGGAGACAAAAGGACAAAAAUAUUAUUAAAUACAAAUAAACAAAUUUGUAUCUUUAACUACAUCAUUUAAUGGCAUUAUUUGUUUUUCAUGACAGUUUUUAUGUUAAGGUAAACUGUUAAAAGUCAGUCAGACAUUACUACUUAUCCUCUGUGAAUAAUUAACAAAACAAAAAACAUUUAAAAAACUCAAUGAAGGUAGAAUAAUUACUAAAGUAAUUAAACUGUCUUUUAUUUUAAAGCUCCUAUGAGUAAUUUUUGGUGUUUAGGAAAUAGACUGAAAUUGACUUGAUGCCUUUUUGUAGUAUCUAAAAGUUAACAAAACCAUCAGGGACAGGGUCGUGAAUUUGUGUUUUGUCAUUUUCAAUGCAUGAAACUAGUACAAGGAGGUAGGUGACAGCUGAUUGACUGAAGAAACAGCUGUAUUUUAUUUAUUUAUUUAUUUUUAACAAUUUCCACAUAAAAAAACUCACAAUAGAUAACAUGACUGGGUGUCAAAAGUCAGCAGGAAAUCACUUGAGCGUGUACAGGACAAGAAAAGCAAAGACACAAAAGUUCCUUACUGGAGCUUUAAAUUCAAAUGCUCAAGCAUCAGCUAAGAGUGAAUUCCUCUUAUUUAAACUAGUCCUUAGAGUUUGAGCCACAAGCUGCAUGACUCACAUCUUUUACCUGUUGCUUUGCGCACACUUCCCUGAUGAAUAUGUCACACUUUUCUUUAAUGACAGACCAAAGGCUGGUCCUAGCCCACCCCUCACACCCAGACCGAUUGAUCUGGGUAAUUUGAUGCUGCGUGUCUGGAGAUAAAACACAAGCAUGAUGAACGUGGCGAUUCCAGCAGUCUCCUUUUCUUCUGACUGGGCAGCUUUUAACCUGAGCAUGCCAUUAGGACCUCACUUAGGCUCCACCCUUGUUUGUUUUUGAGAAAAGCUAACACUUGAUUCAGCAACUUUUUUGUUUCCCUGCAAGACCUAACGCAUCUAAUCGCUGCACGCAAGGCUUCCUUAAGUGUUGCUCUGCUGGAGUGACUGCUGUAAUACCACGCCUCGGCACGGAAACAACAGGGCAUCUGUCUGACCAGAGUGCAGCGGCACUGGGUCAUCAGGUGGAGAGGGUAUGACCUGGGAGAAGGCUUCAUUAGGUGAACCAGGAGCCAAUUAGUCCCCAGCUGCCAGAGACACAGUGUUAGAGAGAGAGGAGGAACGCUCAGUCACCCCACAUGCUGACAGGAACAGCAGGAGACCACAUGAAGAAAUGUCGUUUGAAUCUUUUCUCUCAUUUUGCUCUCAUGACAUGAACUCUUGGAACUCUGAAAUCCAUCUUACAAUCCGUAGUUUGACUUCACCUCUUCUUAAACCCUACACGAGGAUGUGCUGCACAGUGUGCAGGGAUUACCACUGAGGGAGUCUUUUCCAGCGGAUGUGAAGCAUCACCCAUGCUGAUUUAGAAGCAUCCUGAGACUCUCUUGAGUGCUACGUUUUGGGGGUUGGGGUUAUGAGUGGAGAAGACCCCUGGAGACGCGCUCAGAUACGGUUGCAGCUUAAAGGGGGUAGGGUGGGCGUCUGGACUGGGCCUGGCCAGUUCGUCUGAGUGGAGACUAAUGAAAACAAAUGAUCUGACAAGGUCAAAAGGUGGAGAUCAAGGCUCCCGCCCCUCUCAAUUUCCAACUCAGGAGAUUAAUGAUGGUGGAGAACAGCCAUCUCUCUGUAUCUUUUACUCCCUGAGGCCUCUGAAGCCUGUGGAAGUAGUGUGGAGCCCACCUGUUGGCCUGUCGAGGCCUUAAUAUGACAUUGAGCCAGAGGGCAUCACUCCUGACUCCAGGCUGUGACUUCUCUGUCCUCUUAACAACGCACACAGGGAUGUAUUGUGUUGUCAUGACUCCACUCAAAGCCAAACACAGCCUCUUUUACCAGGAAAGGUGUGUUUCUGUCACAACAGUGCACAAGAUACCUCCUUACCUAUUCUAAAAACAGCCUCAAAACUCCUCAAAUAGGGCCUGAAAUAGUCUUUAAAUGUCAAAUCAACAUGCCUUUUGUUUCAGUUUGUAGACAGACAGCCUUAUGGCAUUACCACACCAGUGAGAAAGCUGAGGCUUUUAACCCUCAUGUUGUUGUGCUGAAGAUAAGACGAGACUGCUCCCUUCUGGACACUUUGCAUAGAGACCUAACAACACAUCAGGAGAUAUAACAUCACCCUGAAAGGACAAAACAUGAAUAACACCAUCAUACUUAAUAUUUUACAGUUUAUAAAGCACUCAAAGUUAUUGCUAGGGCCAUAAAAUUUAAGCAAAAACUUUGAUUAAUUGAUCAGAGUUAGAAUAAAAAACAAUCUAAUUAAUGGCACACUGACAAAAAACAUCACACUGAGCAAUCCUGCAAACUUAGAUCCUCAGAUGGGGCUCUACCGGUGGGCUCAGCUCUAAUGGAGAUCAUGAUUUUUCGACUAGAGCCCUCCAAGCUUUCAUUCUGUUAUCUCUUCCUCACCACCCCAUGAGACAUGCCCCUGAUCACACUGAAGUGAGUGAGUCUGGGAAGCAAGGGACCAUCCAUUCGUCGAGUUUUACUAUGAAAAACAUCUGUUAGAAUAAUAUCUACAGAAGACAUCAUACACUAAUGUAAACAACAUACUUCAAAAUAUGAUAUUUAAUUCCUUCCAAGUCUGUUAUUCUUCCAGAUCGCACUAAAUUCUUCACAUUUUACCUUUAUUAUACACAAUAAAUUGGAUAGAACGGCAUGAAAAUUAGCUAUAAUUAAAAAGUAGGGUCAUGCAGGAAGUCCACCUGACUUGAUAUGUGAUUAUUUGCAAAAUAAAACAAUGACAAAACUAAAGGAACUACUUUUUAAAUCAUUGAAAGCACUUAUUAUUGUACUUUGAUAAUGAUUUAGAAAUAUGUAGAUAUUUUUUUUAACCUUCAUCCUGUGGAGGGGGAGGAGGGUAAAAAAAAAAAAAAAACAACUACAUGGGUACAGGACAAAAUUAACCAUAUUUUGGAAUAUGCACAAGACUGUUUAAGGCCUAAGCUGAGAAUAAAGGCAUAUUAAUCUCUCAACUUUUGCAAAACGUGGCCCCAUAGCGCCCCCAACACUUGUAGUGUCCUUGUAAGUUGGUUCAACCUCC